rnacentral:tRNA from 1 species
UCCCUGGUGGUCCAGUGGCUAAGAUUCCACCCUUGCAAGGUAGGGGGCCUGGGUUUGAUCCCUGGUCAGGGAA